UACGUAGGGGGCUAGCGUUGUCCGGAAUCAUUGGGCGUAAAGCGCGUGUAGGCGGUCCGGUAAGUCCGCUGUGAAAGUCGAGGGCUCAACCCUCGAAUGCCGGUGGAUACUGUCGGGCUAGAGUACGGAAGAGGCGAGUGGAAUUCCUGGUGUAGCGGUGAAAUGCGCAGAUAUCAGGAGGAACACCAAUAGCGAAGGCAGCUCGCUGGGACGAUACUGACGCUAAGGCGCGAAAGCGUGGGGAGCGAACAGG
rnacentral:rRNA from 1 species